rnacentral:rRNA from 1 species
CCUACGGGUGGCAGCAGUAGGGAAUCUUCCACAAUGGACGAAAGCCUGAUGGAGCAACGCCGCGUGGGUGAAGAAGGUCUUCGGAUCGUAAAACCCUGUUUUUAUAGAAGAAAAUGCGUGAGAGUAACUGUUCACGUUUCUACGAUAUCUAACCAGAAAGCCACGCCUAACUACGUGCCAGCAGCCGCGGUAAUACGUAGGUUGCAAGCGUUAUCCGGAUUUAUUGGGUGUAAAGGGAACGGAGGCGGUUUGUUAAGUCUGAUGUGAAAGCCUUCGGCUUAACCGGAGUAGUGCAUUGGAAACUGGGAGACGUGAGUGCAGAAGAGGCGAGUGGAACUCCAUGUGUAGCGGUGAAAUGCUUAGAUAUAUGGAAGAACACCAUUGGCGAAGGCGGCUCUCUGGUCUGUAACUGACGCUGAGGUUCGAAAGCGUGGGUAGCAAACAGGAUUAGAUACCCGGGUAGUC